CCCCUCUCAGGGUCGUACCUGGAGAGUUUCCAGUACUUUACCAGUCUCGACUAUGGGAGGGAAAGUCGAGCAGAGGCAUAUCCAUUCCAUUCCUAGCUUUGGCAGUGGCUAGUGAGUGAAGGACAAUCUGCUACAGAC